rnacentral:rRNA from 1 species
GACGAACGCUGGCGGCGUGCCUAAUACAUGCAAGUCGAGCGGACGGAUGGGAGCUUGCUCCCAGACCGUCAGCGGCGGACGGGUGAGUAACACGUGGGCAACCUGCCUGUAAGACUGGGAUAACUCCGGGAAACCGGGGCUAAUACCGGAUAACUCUUUCCCUCACAUGAGGGAAAGCUGAAAGAUGGCAUCUCGCUAUCACUUACAGAUGGGCCCGCGGCGCAUUAGCUAGUGGGUGAGGUAACGGCUCACCAAGGCGACGAUGCGGAGCCGACCGGAGAGGGUGAUCGGCCACACUGGGACUGAGACACGGCCCAGACUCCUACGGGAGGCAGCAGUAGGGAAUCUUCCGCAAUGGGCGAAAGUCUGACGGAGCAACGCCGCGUGAGUGAUGAAGGUUUUCGGAUCGUAAAACUCUGUUGUCAGGGAAGAACAAUUACCGGAGUAACUGCCGGUACCUUGACGGUACCUGACCAGAAAGCCACGGCUAACUACGUG